AAUAAUUAUAAAAUAAAGAAAACCCUCCCGUUAAGAAAAAAUAAAUAAAAAACAAAAGGAAAAAAAAAGACUACCCUGUUACGCGCGUGAUCGACGUUGUUAACGAUUGGCUUGUGAAGAAAAAGAAAAAAAGAAAAGGUAAAGGAAGAAAAAAAAACAAUUAAUAUGUUGAACGUGGAGAGAGAGAGAGAGAGAGAGAGAGCGAGAGAGCGAGAGAGCGAACGAGUAGUAUGAAAGUAUGAAUGAAAGAACGAAUGAAUGAAUGAUCGGAAAGAGAGAAAGAGAGAGAGAGCGAGAGAGAAACAGAAAGAGAAAGAAUUAAAAUGGUUCAUAUCAAGGUUGGUUAAUGGAGUAAGAGGGCUCUUUAUUUAGGAUAUAACUAAAUGGUCUGUUUUAAUGUGUCACGGGCUACACGUAUUGUACUAUAAUAUCUAACAAUAAAGUAUUUUGUUUGCUUCAAAUAAAAAAAAAAAAAGAUCGGAA
rnacentral:lncRNA from 1 species